UAUUCCUAAAUGCCACUUGCAUUAAUAAGCGAAUGAUAAUCCUCUAGUCUUUGCAGUACAAACAGCUAUAAACGAUUGGUUCUCACGUUGAUUCCAUCCAUUACUUAAUAUCAUAGAAAAAGUAAAGUAUCCAUAGAACUAUCUAUGUAACAAUAAAUUCAUAUAUAUUCCCUUUUGUUUUGCAGAUGAAGAACAUAUUGCAAAAAGCCAUGACUACAAUUCUACUUCUUUCACUGUUGUCUAUACAAAAGACACGAUCUAUGGACACAUUCGAGAGCUAUGUGCGAAGAAAUGUUCCGAGUGGCUUUACAAUGGCGGCGUUCGUGGAGACAUGUGAGGGAUGUGGCGUUCUGUACGGAAAUAAGAUGACCUACAAAUGUUUGUCAGAUAAAUCCUUAAGUACAUUCAAAGGAUGCUUCAUCGCAGUUCAUGAUAGAAGAUAACAGAUCGUGACUUUGUUUUAACAGUACCUAAUAUAUCUAAAAAUCAUUUUUUACAAAACAAAACAAAACA